UGAUAGCUGUGAAGCGUGAGGUUGCUGCCUUGAUGGCAGGUUUUCCGUGGAGCGAAUGUCAAGUUAGGAAACUGGCGACAA
rnacentral:ncRNA from 1 species